CCAAACCUCCACCAUCAGGUCGGAUCCAAUCUUUCUUUUUCCAUUCUUUCCAUUCUACGGUAAUUGGUCGAUAGGUCCCCUCGAGCUGAUUCUCCUUUAAUAAUUCCUUCCCUUGAUUGAUUUUGAGGCGGCUUGUUGAUUUCAGAUCGCCCACACAUAUAUAUUGAUGAAAUAUGACUAAAAUAGCGAGGUGGUACUGUCUUUUUCUAAUAUGAAGUCGAAUCCUCUCUGGUUCGCAGGUGGAGAGUUUGAUCCCAGGCGGUGAUGAUUUUAUUUUUGCCUCCUCUGCCUCAGGCAGAGGAACGGAGAGUGGCGGCAAGGGCAGCCGCCGGCGCGAUGACGAGAACCCAGGGGUGGACACACGGGAGAUUGGGUGCUCGCGCGAAGCCUCCUGCAGCACGGUCGCCCACGAGCCCACCCGGAGCUGUCGCCCCCGCUGAAAUGUGCCACCCCGCUGCCCGUGAAAUGCGCCGCCCCGCUGCACUCGAAAGGAAGCUGUCUGGAUAAAGAAAGGAUCGCGGGCUGAAUUCUUACGAACGUAGGGGCAUCUUUGUAAAAAUGAAUCGUUUUUGCAGCUUCACUUAAACGGAGACUGUGGGUUAAUUUAUAAUAAAUCGAGGGACUUUUAUGCAAAAUCACCAGCGACGACGUACGGGCAGAAAC
rnacentral:rRNA from 1 species